rnacentral:rRNA from 1 species
AGAGCGAACGCUGGCGGCAGGCUUAACACAUGCAAGUCGAACGCCCGGGCAACCGGGAGUGGCAGACGGGUGAGUAACACGUGGGAACAUGCCCUUCGGUUCGGAAUAACUCGGGGAAACUCGUGCUAAUACCGGAUACGUCCGUAAGGAGAAAGAUUUAUCGCCGAAGGAUUGGCCCGCGUCGAUUAGCUAGUUGGUGGGUAAAGCCUACAAGGCGACGACGGGUAGCC